UAUAUAUAUAUAUAUAUAUUCAUGAAGCUGAGCUAGUGUUUUCAUGACUUUCUGCCACUUCAUCAAUCUGAUGAUUUUGAUUCAAUCGAUUUCAAAUUAAUUAAAUAUCAAUUGAAUAUUUCAAUUAAUGAAAUGUUUAAUUAAAUUAGUAAUUAGUUCAAUAAACUCUUUCAUAAAUAUACUGAUAUAAUAUUAAAAAUUAUAUAUUUAAAAAUGAAUUAUUGUUAAAUAAUCUUAAAUUAAUAUAUUAAAUAAUAAUAUAAAAAUUAAACUGUAGAAAGUGUGGCCUCACGACUUGUAUUUAUAUCACAUGAUAUCCUUCUGCCUUGUUAAUGUAUUUGAUCUAUAAUCUAUUAGGGAACUUGACAUGUAAACUAAUUAGUGUUUUGAAAUGUAGUCUUAAGUUGGAGAAUGUAACUUCUUAUGAUUAUUAUUAUUAUUUGAUUGUUUUCUUCUAUAUUUAUCUGUGGCAGGGAACAUUAAAG
rnacentral:misc_RNA from 1 species